CUAGUUGAAACAACUUUAGUCUAUCAUGUCUCUGUGCUAGAGCUGUUCGUGGUGCUGCCUGAUGGCCUCACACCUCUGCAUCUUCUCGUCCUUCCUCGCCCGCGGUGCCUUUGUCACCUCUGCGCGUAGAGCACAAUCAGACUGAGACAGGGCAGCAAAACACACGACAGAGGGGGCAUACAAACAUUUCAUGUCAUUCAUCCUUUCAAUUUUGCCCCCUCAAUUUAUUACCAUGGGAGACAUCGAGAAUGGGCCAAUAUCAAGAGUAAGUAGUUGUUGCCGACACUUGCUCACUAACAAACAGCUUCAGGUGAUAAUCCUUGAUCCACCAGGGUUACCAAGCCUAUUCAAACAUCUCAUCCACCAAAAUUAU
rnacentral:lncRNA from 1 species